rnacentral:rRNA from 1 species
CUACGGGAGGCAGCAGUGGGGAAUAUUGGACAAUGGGCGCAAGCCUGAUCCAGCAACGCCGCGUGGAGGAAGAAGGUUUUCGGAUCGUAAACUCCUGUCAGGUGGGACGAAAAGCCGUCGGUGAAUAGCCGGCGGUCAUGACUGUACCAUCAGAGGAAGCCCCGGCUAACUCCGUGCCAGCAGCCGCGGUAAUACGGGGGGGGCGAGCGUUAUUCGGAAUUAUUGGGCGUAAAGGGCGCGUAGGCGGCAUGGCAAGUCAAAGGUGAAAUCCCUCGGCUCAACCGGGGAACUGCCUCUGAAACUGCCAAGCUCGAGGCCGGGAGGGGGUGGCGGAAUUCCCAGUGUAGCGGUGAAAUGCGUAGAUAUUGGGAGGAACACCGAUGGCGAAGGCAGCGGUCUGGGGCCACACUGACGCUGAGGCACGAAAGCGUGGGGAGCAAACAGGAUUAGAAACCCGUGUAGUCC